rnacentral:rRNA from 1 species
AUUGAACGCUGGCGGCAUGCUUUACACAUGCAAGUCGAACGGCAGCGCGGGCUUCGGCCUGGCGGCGAGUGGCGAACGGGUGAGUAAUGCAUCGGAACGUGCCCAGUAGUGGGGGAUAGCCCGGCGAAAGCCGGAUUAAUACCGCAUACGACCUGAGGGUGAAAGCGGGGGACCGAAAGGCCUCGCGCUAUUGGAGCGGCCGAUGUCGGUUUAGCUAGUUGGUGGGGUAAAGGCUUACCAAGGCGACGAUCCGUAGCUGGUCUGAGAGGACGACCAGCCACACUGGGACUGAGACACGGCUCAGACUCCUACGGGAGGCAGCAGUGGGGAAUUUUGGACAAUGGGGGCAACCCUGAUCCAGCCAUGCCGCGUGCGGGAAGAAGGCCUUCGGGUUGUAAACCGCUUUUGUUCGGGAAGAAAUCCUCUGGGCUAAUACCCCGGGGGGAUGACGGUACCGGAAGAAUAAGCACCGGCUAACUACGUG